rnacentral:tRNA from 1 species
AGUCCUAAGAGCACCAGGAAGGAGAACAGCUACAAAGAGGCAACUAGCUCUAACAGCUAUAUUCAGCUACAU